rnacentral:rRNA from 1 species
CACCGCGGCUAUACGAGAGGCCCAAGUUGUCAUCAUCCGGCGUAAAGAGUGGUUAUGGAAACCCAACACUAAAGCCGCACACCUUCAAAGCUGUUAUACGCACCCGAAGACUAGAAGCCCAAUCACGAAGGUGGCUUUAUUAACCCUGAACCCACGAAAGCUUUGGCA